rnacentral:misc_RNA from 1 species
GGACUACAGGGGUUUCUAAUCCCUUUCGCUCCCCUAGCUUUCGUCCCUGAGUGUCAGAUACAGCCCAGUAGCACGCUUUCGCCACCGAUGUUCUUCCCAAUCUCUACGCAUUUCACCGCUACACUGGGAAUUCCUGCUACCCCUACUGCUCUCUAGUCUGCCAGUUUCCACCGCCUUUAGGUCGUUAAGCAACCUGAUUUGACGGCAGACUUGGCUGACCACCUGCGGACGCUUUACGCCCAAUAAUUCCGGAUAACGCUUGCCUCCCCCGUAUUACCGCGGCGGCUGGCAC